rnacentral:rRNA from 1 species
AAGUUUGUGUAGUUUACUAAUUAAGCCAAGUCUAUGUGCUGCUUAUAAAAGUAUUCAUGCGUUACUUUAAUAAAGUUUUAGUUGUAAAUACUAUUAUAUUCAGGACUUAAAAGUAAUGUUAAAUUAGUUUGUUAACGUGAAGUAAGGUUUAGCUCAUGUACACACCGC